rnacentral:rRNA from 1 species
CCUACGGGAGGCAGCAGUGAGGAAUAUUGGUCAAUGGGCGCGAGCCUGAACCAGCCAAGUAGCGUGAAGGAUGACUGCCCUACGGGUUGUAAACUUCUUUUAUAAAGGAAUAAAGUGAGGCACGUGGGCCGUUUUGUAUGUACUUUAUGAAUAAGGAUCGGCUAACUCCGUGCCAGCAGCCGCGGUAAUACGGAGGAUCCGAGCGUUAUCCGGAUUUAUUGGGUUUAAAGGGAGCGUAGAGGGCUUGUUAGGUCAGUUGUGAAAGUUUGCGGCUCAACCGUAAAAUUGCAAUUGAUACUGGCAGUCUUGCGUACAGUUGAGGUCGGCGGCAUUCGUGGUGUAGCGGUGCAAUGCUUAGAUAUCACG